rnacentral:rRNA from 1 species
UACGGGGGGGGCAAGCGUUGUUCGGAAUUACUGGGCGUAAAGGGCUCGUAGGCGGCCAACUAAGUCAGACGUGAAAUCCCUCGGCUUAACCGGGGAACUGCGUCUGAUACUGGAUGGCUUGAGUUUGGGAGAGGGAUGCGGAAUUCCAGGUGUAGCGGUGAAAUGCGCAGAUAUCAGGAGGAACACCAAUAGCGAAGGCAGCUCGCUGGGACGUUACUGACACUGAGGCGCGAAAGCGUGGGGAGCGAACAGG